GACGAACGCUGGCGGCGUGCUUAACACAUGCAAGUCGAACGGAAAGGCCCUGCUUUUGUGGGGCGCUCGAGUGGCGAACGGGUGAGUAACACGUGAGUAACCUGCCCUUGACUUUGGGAUAACUUCAGGAAACUGGGGCUAAUACCGGAUAGGAGCUCCUGCUGCAUGGUGGGGGUUGGAAAGUUUCGGCGGUUGGGGAUGGACUCGCGGCUUAUCAGCUUGUUGGUGGGGUAGUGGCUUACCAAGGCUUUGACGGGUAGCCGGCCUGAGAGGGUGACCGGCCACAUUGGGACGGAGAUACGGCCCAGACUCCUACGGGAGGCAGCAGUGGGGAAUAUUGCACAAUGGGCGGAAGCCUGAUGCAGCAACGCCGCGUGCGGGAUGACGGCCUUCGGGUUGUAAACCGCUUUCGCCUGUGACGAAGCGUGAGUGACGGUAAUGGGUAAAGAAGCACCGGCUAACUACGU
rnacentral:rRNA from 1 species